rnacentral:rRNA from 1 species
GAUGAACGCUGGCGGCGUGCCUAAUACAUGCAAGUCGAGCGAACGGACGAGAAGCUUGCUUCUCUGAUGUUAGCGGCGGACGGGUGAGUAACACGUGGAUAACCUACCUAUAAGACUGGGAUAACUUCGGGAAACCGUAUCUAAUACCGGAUAAUAUUUUGAACCGCAGGGUUCAAAAGUGAAAGACGUUCUUGCUGUCACUUAUAGAUGGAUCCGCGCUGCAUUAGCUAGUUGGUAAGGUAACGGCUUACCAAGGCAACGAUGCGUAGCCGACCUGAGAGGGUGAUCGGCCACACUGGAACUGAGACACGGUCCAGACUCCUACGGGAGGCAGCAGUAGGGAAUCUUCCGCAAUGGGCGAAAGCCUGACGGAGCAACGCCGCGUGAGUGAUGAAGGUCUUCGGAUCGUAAAACUCUGUUAUUAGGGAAGAACAGAUGUGUAAGUAACUGUGCACAUCUUGACGGUACCUAAUCAGAAAGCCACGGCUAACUACGUG